rnacentral:lncRNA from 1 species
CAAAUAAAUGCGGGGAUGCCUCGGCUCGGAGCAGUCGGCCUCCUCCCUCCGCGAGCUGGACGCUCCGCAGCCCGCCCGCCAGCCGGCCCGCCGGCCGCCGCAGGAAUCCCUGGAUAAAGACCAGCUCAACCAUCGCUGAGAAAACAGACCUAGGCUUCCCAGGGCGGUUAACCCGCCGGCCUCUGGGCAGAGACUACAAAACAAAAUAAAACAACAACAAAAAACUCCCAGUGUGUUUCCUACUCUUCUUUGUCUUGGAGGAAAGCAAAGGGAGAGAAAUGGACUUCACCAGUGGUCUUUGGCUUCAUCAAUUCACAGGAAAUGGCAUCAAGAUGGUUCAACUAAGACAUGAUCACUAAAAACAUUAUAAUAAUACCUUUUUGAAAAACUCAGUUUCUCCUGUUUACUAAAUAUUUAUUUCAUCAACAUGGGCUGCGUUCCACUGUGUCAGGAUUCUGCAUGUGGGUGGAGCACUGUUCCAGCCUGAGAAGAUGGUUCUGAGGCCACUUAGCAAGACAUUUUCCAGCAUGAGCAGGUUUCUCUGUGGAAAUAGUGACACCUGUUCUGGUGUGUUGUCUUUCCUCAGGGAACUUAAGGGGUACAAAGCUCCUGAAAAUGUUCUUUAUGCUGGUUGAAGCUCUUAUGUCGCUGUACUGAUUCCCUACGAUGCAGAUUUGAAUCACAGAGUAAUUAAAAUAUGGAUCAAAUAAGGCUGGGGCUCACCAAGGCUGAAAGCUGUAGCCAUUCAAGGCAUCAUUUCUGUCAUGAAAAUAUAGGACCUUUUCAAAACAUGCCUUCAGGAAGGUGUUCUCUUUUCAAACAAAAGUCUAAUGACUGCAUAACUCUUCUUGACCACAUCUUACACUUUCUCUAGACUUGCUUAUUUACAGCUACUGGAACAAAAAGAUGAAAUGAAUAAAGCACACUGAUUGUCCUAAGAGUCUUCUGUGACUAAAAGCACAUGAGCUUCUCCCCAGGCUGAGCUUUGACCCUCCCAAGCAUUUCCCCAAAGGCCAUGACACUGCAUCAGAUUGCUCCUGGACACUUUCCUCAGAGUUUUCAACAAAUAUAAACUGAGGAGUGGAGCACAGCACCAGAUUUGCUAAUCAAGAGGCAAUGGUCCCAGUCCAAAUGGGUGCUGUGUGUGAAUACAGAGCCCAGGAGAAGGGAAGGAGGUCUGUGAACAUCAGGAAUUGCAAAAUCUUGCUGAACCAAUAGACCAACAGCCAUUAACAUUUGUCAAUGCAAAGAUCCUAAAAUAUACAAGUGUGGAGUUGUCCUGCCCUAAGAGCUGAAGCUGUGACAAUCACGCUGCCAUGGUAGAUAUUUAAGCUCCCCUGAGGUUACUGAAUCUAACAAUGAAUAAACAAUGAAGAGUAGCUAAUUUUUGGAAAUCUCUUUCUAUGACCGGAAAAUAUUCACAAACUCAGAGUGAUUGUUUGGGGUGAAAGAUGGUCCCAUGCCUUGUGGGCCUCUCUUUGCUAUCUAUACAACGUUGGAAAUGAACCCCUCCCUUACAGGAAAGUGAACAGCAACCAAGGAUCAAUAUUUCCAGCAAAGGAGUCCACACUCAAGAUACACUGCUACGUCUCACUUUUUCCUUGACACAACAAUUUAUUUUAUAAAUGCAUCUGCUGGAGAAGAAAAGGCAGUACCAAGGAUUGUGUCUUUUAUCUCCAGGAUAUGCAAAGCGCAUUUAUUUUCAGCUUUUAUCUCUGGAAUUGUAUGUUGAUCCCAUACAUAUAGAUUGAUUUUGUUCAGGUAGAUAAUGAAAAGUCAAGUGGAAAAUUACACAAUGGCAUUCACGAUCCUAGUCUUAUAUCAGUAUAUAAAUUGGUUUAUUAUUUCAUUCUAUUAAAGAGGCUUUUUUUUGGUACCAGGAAAACUUCAAAAUGCAUUGUGUUGUCAGCCUCACUGAAUUUUCUUUUGGAGGAGGAGGUAGGGAGGGGAAGCCAAAGCCCCGAUUUCUCCUGCUCCUUUUGCUAAUUGUAUUGGCUAAAUGAGCUUUCACAGAGGGGGGUCCUGGCUGCUUUUUGCUCUCCCCCAGACCACUUGUAGGUUGCACACAGGGCUUCUAUAACUCUUUCUGAGUCAGGACAAAGAUAUCCGCCGUGCACACCCUGUGACAUAGGUGGAUAUUUAUUUCAUCCCGGGCAAUUCUAAAUUUUGUCAUGAUGACUGAAAGAGGCAAUCCCCUCCUGAGCAUUAAGAGGCCAGGGGUGAGAGGGUGGCAGCAUAGAAAAGCCACCACCCAGAGACAGCUUGGAGCCAUGAUCCUGGAGGAAAUGUUAUUAAUAAACAUCUUUUGGACAUUUGGUAGCCCGUGGAGCUUGCUCCAGCUUAAAGCAAUUAAUUCAGGACACUGACAUAAACUCUCCAGAUCUUUGACAGCUUGGAGCCGAAAUAAAAAUGCUAGUUCUCCGGGGAAGAGAAGAGGAUGGCUAGCCCUUUUCUGGACUGUUUGCUUAUAGGCCCAGAGAGCAACCUUCCUUGCAGAAUG